GAGCGAUACUAAAUACUACGUAGUAUAAAGUCGCUGAGCGUUAAAAAUAAAAUAUCAGACACGCAACAGCGACGGCUGCCAGCAGUGUUUUCUAUAGAAAACGAAAAUUAUUUCCUGUUUUCAGCAAUAACAACCGCGCGUGAGGUGGAAAACGAAAAUAUUGCCCUGCAGGCGGAGAUAACAGAGUUGGGGGUGUCUAACAGUCGUGGUGAAUCCGAAACGCAUUUGGCCAUUGCAUUGCAGUUUGUUUACCAUCACGUAUUAGCCACAAACCUUAUAGAGUAUGUACAUACACAUACAUACAUGUGUAUGUAUUUAUACGUAUACCCCGUAGCUUGCCCCAUGAAGUUAAAACGACGCAGUUGUAAGAGAAACCAAGACGAGGCGGAGAUACAAAGGGGCCUCAAACAAUGCGUAAAAAAGGUGAUUGAUAACAAGGUGCGCCUUACAAAUGUUCACUGUCUGCCCUCCACGAGCAAUACAGAAAUUCGUUUAGACCUCCAAUCCAUACGAAAUUCUCUGCGCUUAUCUAUUUAAAUGCUCUGAUUUGGGUAAUAGAUUUGUAUAGAUUUGUAUGUAUGUAUGUACAUUGUAGCAGAAUUUAGCGAGACUUGCAGUAUAUAAACGUACAUAAUAAUUCCCUUUUUAUUGCUUAAUAAAAAGAAGCAACUAUCUACAUAACUCUUCAUUUACCUUUAAUUUUAGCAAUUUUUGGUAAAACAUAUUACUUAUUUGUCACAGUGUCUAUAAUUAUGCUGAUACAAUUGGAGCUACAAAUAGAGGGUGAAACGUUUUUCGUGCACACAGUUGCACUUUAUGUAAACAUGUGGGCACACGCACAAGGUUGCGGAAGAAGAAAAAGAAGUGCAUUGUGCAGUCGAAAAGGAGAAGGAGCAGAGAAAGAGGGCUAAAAGGACAACCAUAGAAUGAGGGAGCAGACAAGCUUGGUGUAUUUUUGGCACACUAUCGCCCCCUGUAGCUACCUCUCUUUCUCGCAUUCGCUUAUACCAUUUCGCUGUGGUGCAUUCAACCUGCUGGUGAGAGAGACAGGUGCACUUACAGUUCCUCGCGAUCAACAGCUGUGUGAGUGAUUGCGAAUCGGGCAAUUACUUAACUGCGUUUGCGAGAUAGGGUAUCUUAAAUUAAUAUUGUUACAAAGUAUUGGAGCUGAUAGGAUUUCAUAUUUUAUUGUAUAGUUUCUGUACUCCAAAAUAUUUAUAUUUUCUAUAAGAUAACUUUCAGUUGGAGCAUACUAACUUUCGUAUAUGGCUAACACUGGACUCGGAGACAACGCAAUUUGCUGAACUUUAAUGCGUAGCAAGCCAAAUCGAAAAAUGCAGUAAACAAUGAAACAUUGCUAACGGCCCACCCUCCAUCGUCCCCAUCCCCGCCCCCUUUCCGAGAUGAUUUGUUAUUGUUGGCCUGGCUUACACGGGGUUGUUGUUGCUGCGUAGCUUGGUUGUUGCUGGAUAAGGCAGCGGCGCAUGCAACAAAUUGCGUUCUACCAACAACAGAAACAACGGCAUUCAGAGAUGAGAGACAAAGGACCAUGGGUGGAUAUUUUAAGCAAGAGUACUGUGUACUCCAAUGGCACUUCCAAAAACGUUAACUAAUUCGUUUUCUAAAAUAUUGACUAUCUAAAUAUAUCAUUUAAAGUUCAUCUAAUCCAAAUGUAAUCAAA
ensembl:ncRNA lncRNA:CR43301 long non-coding RNA:CR43301